rfam:Solanum lycopersicum cultivar Heinz 1706 chromosome 6, whole genome shotgun sequence.
CCUCUGCCUAUGAUGGCAUUAAAUAUACUUUGAGUAUUUCACUAUGAAACAACUUGUAAUCUGAGGCUU